rnacentral:rRNA from 1 species
GCCCCGGCCUAACUACGUGCCAGCAGCCGCGGUAAUACGUAGGGGGCGAGCGUUGUCCGGAAUUAUUGGGCGUAAAGGGUACGUAGGCGGACUUGAAAGUUUGACGUGAAAGCCCGGGGCUUAACCCCCGGCGAGCGUUAAAAACUACAGGCCUUGAGUGGUAGAAGGGAUCGUGGAAUUCCUGGUGUAGUGGUGAAAUGCGCAGAGAUCAGGAAGAAUACCAGUGGCGAAGGCGACUGUCUGGACAUUAACUGACGCUGAGGUACGAAAGCGUGGGGAGCAAACAGGAUCAGAUACCCUGGUAGUCCACGCUGUAAACGAUGAGUGCAAGGUGUUGGGGGUCAAACCUCGGUGCCGCCGUUAACACAGUAAGCACUCCGCCUGGGGAGUACGUACGCA